GCCGAUGUAGCUCAGCUGGUAGAGCAAUGCUUUCGUAAAGCAGAGGUCGGUGGUUCGAAGCCACCCAUCGGCU
rnacentral:tRNA from 1 species